rnacentral:rRNA from 1 species
UCGGUCGUGCCUCGGUACGCACUGGCAUUAUUGGUUCCUACCUUCUGAAGAACCGCGAUGUCAUUAAUUUGGUGUCGCGGGGAAUCAGGACUGUUACUUUGAAAAAAUUAGAGUGUUUAAAGCAGGCUUACGCUUGAAUACAUUAGCAUGGAAUAAUGAAAUAGGACGUUUGAUUCUAUUUUGUUGGUUUCUAGGAUCGACGUAAUGAUUAAUAGGGAUAGUUGGGGGCAUUAGUAUUCAAUUGUCAGAGGUGAAAUUCUUGGAUUUAUUGAAGACUAACUACUGCGAAAGCAUUUGCCAAGGAUGUUUUCAUUAAUCAAGAACGAAAGUUAGGGG